CAGCUAUUGUGUGCAUAAUAGUCAUCCAUCUGUGUCUGACAGCAGUGCCUCCGUGUUGCAUUCAGAUCUUGCUAUCCGCGCAAACACCAUGCAGCCAAAGAAUAAGUUCGGAUCAUAGUACCACUCCAGUGUCAUCUCACUGGACAUAAUUUACUACUGGCCAGUUCCCAAGUUCCCACACAGAA